rnacentral:rRNA from 1 species
CGAGUUUGAUCCUGGCUCAGAUUGAACGCUGGCGGUAGGCUUAACACAUGCAAGUCGAGCGGUAACAGACAUUUUGAUUUUGCUUGCAAAAUCUCGUGCUGACGAGCGGCGAACGGGUGAGUAACGCGUAGGAAUCUACCUAGUAGAAGGGGAUAGCCCGAGGAAACUCGGAUUAAUACCGUAUACGUCCUUAGGGAGAAAGAGGGCUUAGCUUUGAUGCUCUCGCUAUUAGAUGAGCCUGCGUAAGAUUAGCUUGUUGGUGAGGUAAAGGCUCACCAAGGCGACGAUCUUUAGCUGGUCUGAGAGGACGAUCAGCCACAUUGGGACUGAGACACGGCCCAGACUCCUACGGGAGGCAGCAGUGGGGAAUAUUGGACAAUGGGCGCAAGCCUGAUCCAGCCAUACCGCGUGUGUGAAGAAGGCUUUCGGGUUGUAAAGCACUUUAAGUAAGGAAGAAAAGAGUAUUGUUAAUACCAAUACUCCGUGACGUUACUUACAGAAUAAGGACCGGCUAAUUCCGUGCCAGCAGCCGCGGUAAUACGGAAGGUCCAAGCGUUAAUCGGAAUUACUGGGCGUAAAGCGCGCGUAGGUGGUUUAUUAAGUUGGGUGUGAAAGCCCCGGGCUCAACCUGGGAACUGCAUCCAAAACUGAUUCACUAGAGUACGAAAGAGGAAAGUAGAAUUCACAGUGUAGCGGUGGAAUGC